rnacentral:rRNA from 1 species
CCUACGGGAGGCUGCAGUGGGGGAUAUUGCACAAUGGGGGAAACCCUGAUGCAGCGACGCCGCGUGGGUGAAGAAGCGCCUCGGCGCGUAAAGCCCUGUCAGCAGGGAAGAAAAUGACGGUACCUGAAGAAGAAGCCCCGGCUAACUACGUGCCAGCAGCCGCGGUAAUAAGUAGGGGGCAAGCGUUAGACGGAUUUACUGGGUGUAAAGGGGGCGCAGACGGCGUUGCAAGACAGGAGGGAAAGCCGGGGGCCCAACCCCGGGACUGCACUUGGAACUGCGUGGCUAGAGUGCAGGAGGGGCAGGCGGAAUUCCUGGUGUAGCGGUGAAAUGCGUAGAUAUCAGGAGGAACACCGGUGGCGAAGGCGGCCUGCUGGACUGCAACUGACGUUGAGGCCCGAAAGCGUGGGGAGCAAACAGGAUUAGAUACCCGUGUAGUC